GAGCUCUGUGCACAAGCUUUCUCAUCUAUGACACUUGCAAUGGUUUCAGGGAGUGGACACUGGAGAGAGAACUUUUGCAAGUCGCUC
ensembl:miRNA Mir3095 microRNA 3095